rnacentral:rRNA from 1 species
GGGUUGUGAGGUUAAGCGACUAAGCGUACACGGUGGAUGCCCUGGCAGUCAGAGGCGAUGAAGGGCGUGCUAAUCUGCGAUAAGCGCCGGUAAGGUGAUAUGAACCGUUAUAACCGGCGAUACCCGAAUGGGGAAACCCAGUGUGAUUCGUCACACUAUCAUUAACUGAAUCCAUAGGUUAAUGAGGCGAACCGGGGGAACUGAAACAUCUAAGUACCCCGAGGAAAAGAAAUCAACCGAGAUUCCCCCAGUAGCGGCGAGCGAACGGGGAGGAGCCCAGAGCCUGAAUCAGCAUGUGUGUUAGUGGAAGCGUCUGGAAAGGCGCGCGAUACAGGGUGACAGCCCCGUACACAAAAGCGCAUGUGCUGUGAGCUCGAUGAGUAGGGCGGGACACGUGGUAUCCUGUCUGAAUAUGGGGGGACCAUCCUCCAAGGCUAAAUACUCCUGACUGACCGAUAGUGAACCAGUACCGUGAGGGAAAGGCGAAAAGAACCCCGGCGAGGGGAGUGAAAAAGAACCUGAAACCGUGUACGUACAAGCAGUGGGAGCACCCUUUGGGGUGUGACUGCGUACCUUUUGUAUAAUGGGUCAGCGACUUAUAUUCUGUAGCAAGGUUAACCGUAUAGGGGAGCCGCAGGGAAACCGAGUCUUAAUUGGGCGUUAAGUUGCAGGGUAUAGACCCGAAACCCGGUGAUCUAGCCAUGGGCAGGUUGAAGGUUGGGUAACACUAACUGGAGGACCGAACCGACUAAUGUUGAAAAAUUAGCGGAUGACCUGUGGCUGGGGGUGAAAGGCCAAUCAAACCGGGAGAUAGCUGGUUCUCCCCGAAAGCUAUUUAGGUAGCGCCUCGUGAAUUCAUCUCCGGGGGUAGAGCACUGUUUCGGCUAGGGGGCCAUCCCGGCUUACCAACCCGAUGCAAACUGCGAAUACCGGAGAAUGUUAUCACGGGAGACACACGGCGGGUGCUAACGUCCGUCGUGAAGAGGGAAACAACCCAGACCGCCAGCUAAGGUCCCAAAGUCAUGGUUAAGUGGGAAACGAUGUGGGAAGGCCCAGACAGCCAGGAUGUUGGCUUAGAAGCAGCCAUCAUUUAAAGAAAGCGUAAUAGCUCACUGGUCGAGUCGGCCUGCGCGGAAGAUGUAACGGGGCUAAACCAUGCACCGAAGCUGCGGCAGCGACGCUUAUGCGUUGCUGGGUAGGGGAGCGUUCUGUAAGCCUGCGAAGGUGGCCUGUGAGGGUUGCUGGAGGUAUCAGAAGUGCGAAUGCUGACAUAAGUAACGAUAAAGCGGGUGAAAAGCCCGCUCGCCGGAAGACCAAGGGUUCCUGUCCAACGUUAAUCGGGGCAGGGUGAGUCGACCCCUAAGGCGAGGCCGAAAGGCGUAGUCGAUGGGAAACGGGUUAAUAUUCCCGUACUUGGUGUUACUGCGAAGGGGGGACGGAGAAGGCUAUGUUGGCCGGGCGACGGUUGUCCCGGUUUAAGCGUGUAGGUGUGUGUUCCAGGUAAAUCCGGUUCACUUUAACACUGAGGCGUGACGACGAGGCACUACGGUGCUGAAGCAACAAAUGCCCUGCUUCCAGGAAAAGCCUCUAAGCAUCAGGUAACAUCAAAUCGUACCCCAAACCGACACAGGUGGUCAGGUAGAGAAUACCAAGGCGCUUGAGAGAACUCGGGUGAAGGAACUAGGCAAAAUGGUGCCGUAACUUCGGGAGAAGGCACGCUGACACGUAGGUGAAGUGAUUUACUCAUGGAGCUGAAGUCAGUCGAAGAUACCAGCUGGCUGCAACUGUUUAUUAAAAACACAGCACUGUGCAAACACGAAAGUGGACGUAUACGGUGUGACGCCUGCCCGGUGCCGGAAGGUUAAUUGAUGGGGUCAGCGCAAGCGAAGCUCCUGAUCGAAGCCCCGGUAAACGGCGGCCGUAACUAUAACGGUCCUAAGGUAGCGAAAUUCCUUGUCGGGUAAGUUCCGACCUGCACGAAUGGCGUAAUGAUGGCCAGGCUGUCUCCACCCGAGACUCAGUGAAAUUGAACUCGCUGUGAAGAUGCAGUGUACCCGCGGCAAGACGGAAAGACCCCGUGAACCUUUACUAUAGCUUGACACUGAACAUUGAGCCUUGAUGUGUAGGAUAGGUGGGAGGCUUUGAAGUGUGGACGCCAGUCUGCAUGGAGCCGACCUUGAAAUACCACCCUUUAAUGUUUGAUGUUCUAACGUGGACCCGUUACCCGGGUUGCGGACAGUGUCUGGUGGGUAGUUUGACUGGGGCGGUCUCCUCCUAAAGAGUAACGGAGGAGCACGAAGGUUGGCUAAUCCUGGUCGGACAUCAGGAGGUUAGUGCAAUGGCAUAAGCCAGCUUGACUGCGAGCGUGACGGCGCGAGCAGGUGCGAAAGCAGGUCAUAGUGAUCCGGUGGUUCUGAAUGGAAGGGCCAUCGCUCAACGGAUAAAAGGUACUCCGGGGAUAACAGGCUGAUACCGCCCAAGAGUUCAUAUCGACGGCGGUGUUUGGCACCUCGAUGUCGGCUCAUCACAUCCUGGGGCUGAAGUAGGUCCCAAGGGUAUGGCUGUUCGCCAUUUAAAGUGGUACGCGAGCUGGGUUUAGAACGUCGUGAGACAGUUCGGUCCCUAUCUGCCGUGGGCGCUGGAGAACUGAGGGGGGCUGCUCCUAGUACGAGAGGACCGGAGUGGACGCAUCACUGGUGUU